rnacentral:ncRNA from 2 species
GGAAGACGGGUGAAAGUCCCGCACUGUCUCGCAACUGUAUUUGCCGAGCGAUGACCAUAGCGCCACUGGGAACCCGGGAAGGCGGUCAAAGCGACGACGCAUAAGUCAGGAUAC